GUCGGUGUGGCUCAGUUGGUUAGAGCGUUGGUCUCAUAGCACAAAGCGUGAUUUGGUCACAGAUCAGAGUAAUCCAAAGGUCGAGAGUUCGAGCCUCUCCACCGACA
rfam:Fusarium oxysporum f. sp. cubense tropical race 4 54006 unplaced genomic scaffold supercont1.16, whole genome shotgun sequence.